rnacentral:rRNA from 1 species
AACGAACGCUGGCGGCGCGUUUUUAAGCAUGCAAGUCGGACGGUAGUAGUAGCAAUACUAUGAGAGUGGCGAACGGGUGAGUAACACGUAAGUGAUCUGCCCUGGGGAUGGGGAUAGCACAUGGAGACAUGUGGUAAUACCGGAUAACGUAACAAUAUUUAAAGAUGAUGUUAUGAAAAGAGCUACGGCUCUGCCCUGGGAUGAGCUUGCGGCCCAUUAGCUAGUUGGUGAGGUAAAGGCCCACCAAGGCGACGAUGGGUAGCCGGCCUGAGAGGGUGAACGGCCACAUUGGGACUGAGACACGGCCCAGACUCCUACGGGAGGCAGCAGUUGGGAAUCUUCGGCAAUGGGCGCAAGCCUGACCGAGCAACGCCGCGUGAGUGAUGUAAGGUUUUCGGAUUGUAAAGCUCUGUCUUCCGGGACGAUAAUGAACGGUACCGGAGGAGGAAGCCGACGGCUAACGUACGUGCCAGCAGCCGCGGUAAGCACGAGAGUA